AACAAGGCGUACCUGCGGACCUGCGGAGGGAUCAUUAUCCAUCCAAAACCAGCUGCGGUCGCGGCCCCACGCUUACCCGUGGCGGUACGCGCCGCACGUCUGCACCCUUUUUUUACGAGUACCUUCGUUCUCCCUCGGCAGGGCAACCUGCCGUUGGAACCAUACAAAACCUUUUUUUGCAUCUAGCAUUACCUGUUCUGAUACAAACAAUCGUUACAACUUUUAACAAUGGAUCUCAGA
rnacentral:misc_RNA from 1 species